UGAGGUAUAGCUGAGUUGGUAGAGUACUUGCCUCAUAUGUACAAGGCCCUGGGUUCAAUCCCCAGCACCACAA
rnacentral:tRNA from 1 species